rnacentral:rRNA from 1 species
CCUACGGGGGGCAGCAGUGGGGAAUAUUGGACAAUGGGGGGAACCCUGAUCCAGCCAUGCCGCGUGUGUGAAGAAGGCCCUCGGGUUGUAAAGCACUUUCAGUGAGGAAGAACGCCUGGUGGUUAAUACCCAUCAGGAAAGACAUCACUCACAGACGAAGCACCGGCUAACUCCGUGCCAGCAGCCGCGGUAAUACGGAGGGUGCGAGCGUUAAUCGGAAUUACUGGGCGUAAAGCGCGCGUAGGUGGCUUGAUAAGCCGGUUGUGAAAGCCCCGGGCUCAACCUGGGAACGGCAUCCGGACCUGUCAAGCUAGAGUGCAGGAGAGGAAGGUAGAAUUCCCGGUGUAGCGGUGAAAUGCGUAGAGAUCGGGAGGAAUACCAGUGGCGAAGGCGGCCUUCUGGACUGACACUGACACUGAGGUGCGAAAGCGUGGGUAGCAAACAGGAUUAGAUACCCCGGUAGUC